GUGCUCUGAGGUAAGGACGCUUCCUGCAGAAGCCAGCUCUCCACGCAGCUGGCAAGGGGAUCCUAGAAGACUUCCUAUCUCGGAAGUGAAAAGGAACGCGGCCUCCUGAGGAGCGUUCAGGAAGGGGAAAGCCCUGGCUUCCUGGUGAGGGAACAAACAGGGCCGUGGCUCCAACGCAGCUGGGCACGUCAGAGCCUGGCCGCCUGGGACUCAGACAAUCAGCCAGCCCGGCCUGGUGCCACCCGCCCCCGGAGGACACACCGGUGAGGACUGGCUGGACCCCUCUGGAGCCCUUCCUGAGCAUCAGUGGGAGUCCAGCUUUUCGCCAGAACUGUGCAGGCUGCUGGGCCCUCGGAGCUGGCUGGGGGCUGGGGUCUUCCCUCGGGGCCGUGCCAGGGCUCAUGCGAUGCUGCGCACCUCCGACGCUCAGGGCGGUGCUGGGCCUGUGAGGGGCAGAUGCCCUCGCAGAGCCCCUCUGGGUAGAGUUCUGGGGUCCACCACCUUCCAGCUGGGCUUGGCCAAUGGCUCAUGCGGGUGGGCGCCUAGGAGAAGCCAGGGAUUUGCCUUCUCUCCUGCCUCCCCCGGGGCCCCAGCUCCUGCAGCAGGACCCCUGACCUUGGGCGCCAGCAGCACAGCUCCUGGGCCAGAAGCUGCGGGGCUCUGCUGGCUCCCGUGGCAGCGCUAUGAGAAAGGCUAGUGGUCCCUUCUGCCCGAGGGCUCCCUCUGGCCAGGUCCUACAUGCUGGGUGGUUAUAGUCCCCAGGAGCCCUACGGGGACAGGUGGCAGUUGGACGGUAAGAGGCCAGGUUCUCCCGACAGGUGGGGCAACCCUGAGUAUGUCUAUACUUGGUCCCCGAGGUCCACGGGCGACCUGCUCCUUCUGUGAGCCCUGCCCUUCCCUACUCCCCUCCCAGUGUUGGGGUCACCUCCACGUGGCCUUGAGCUGCCUUGAGUGCCUGCCUCCCUGGAGACCAUCCCAGCAAGCUGUCCAAGCUCUGCCGUCUCUCGGCCACCCCGUAGCCCACCUUUCUUUCCGGGUUCUCUGGGCAUUGCUGUCCAGGGCGGAGCAGAGGGGCUGCCUCCUGGCCGGGCCACUCCUGUGCUCUGCUCCCGGGGCUGUAGGUAGAGCAGGAAGGUGGAGCUGGUCAGGGAGUUGGUGUGCCACUGACCCUGCCAAGCACUGGGGACUGUGGCCUGCCCCCAGCCUGUACAUGUCCUCCCUGCCUGACCUCCCUGCUCCACGGGUCCUGCUGGUUACAUAAGGUUCCCCAUAGCCAGGGCCAGACAAGGCACAAACCCCAGAGCACAUCAAAACAACCCUAGCAGGCAGAGGAACCCGGGAGGACAAAGGCGGGAAGGUGGCCCUGCUGAGGAAGCCCGGCAGGGAAGGGCGGGAGUGGCCCUGGAGAGAGUGGUGGAUGGUCAGAGGACCGAGGCUGGCAGCAGGGCCAGCUAGGCAGAGCACACCCCUGGCCGGUGUGUCCCAGGCUCUGGGCCCACUGUUUCCCCUCCCCCACUCCCUGGCCCCUGCGGUGGGGCUCUGGGCCGCACUUGUUUACAGGUUUCAGGUGACUUGGAAAGGCCUGGGUCCUGCAGGCUUGGGCCACCCAGAGGGAAAACAGCCCGUGGGGUUUUCCUGGAUUACUGUUACACAGUGCCACACACCCGGGCCGGCAGCACAGACUGACUCAAAGAUCCGGGCCAGAAGUUUAGAACCACGGUGUUGGUUGGACCCUGGUCCCUCUGUGGGAUCCAGGGAAAAGGCCUUCCUUAGCUCUCCAGCUCUGGAGCCCCUGGGCCCUCAGGUCACGCAGCCCUGCCUGGUCUCUGCGACUCUCUGGUUCCUUCUGUAGCACUUGGUGACCUUGGUCUUGCUCCUCUUGUCCCUUGUGUCUGGCUGCUCUUGGGCCGAUUGCUGAUCUUGCAUGGUUUAGAAUCAAUUUGUGCUGUCACUUGGCUUUUAAUUGGUGUGUCUGGGGACGUAGCUGUGGUGCAGUCACAGGGGGCUGGGGCUGCAUCGCGAUUCCCCAUUUCCCCUGCUCCCUCUGCUCUAGUAUCCCACUUCCUUAUUCUGAUAUUCUGCCGUUUUCCACUUGAUCUGCUGGCUUUUUGCCGAGUCUCUCUUUUGUCUGUUUGGCCGGGAGACUGCAAGGCCCCAAGCUGGACCUCGGUGGUUCACUCUGCUGCUUCAAGGAGGCCGAGGGUGGAGCGUGGAGCCCCUGUUAGAGUUGUCAUGUGGCUGCGAGCGUCAAAGGCCACACAGGGUUACAUGCUUUGCUGUCCACAGUCACACUUUUCUUAAAGAAUUAAAAAUAAUUUAAAAUAAAAAAUAAUUUAAAGCCGUGUCCAGAGACCCUUGGCGUCUGCCUGUCCUUCCCGCCUGCCUUCUGAGCUCCACUGCGUCAUUUCCCUUGGGCCCCAGAACGCCCUUCAGGGCUUCUUUGGGAGCAGGCCUGCUGGGGGCACAUUGUCUAGGCCUCUCUCCCUCCGCGUCCCCCUCUGACCUCCAUUCCUGAAGGGUGUGUCCUGGACGGGGAGUUCUGAGGGGCCGCCUCCCUCCUUCCUUAGAGUGCAUUCCACUCUCUUCUGGCCUCCGUGUCCUGUUCUCAUUUCAUCGUAUAUUUUACUUUAUUUGAAGUUUCUGUUCUUGCUUGUUUU
rnacentral:lncRNA from 1 species